rnacentral:rRNA from 1 species
AUGGGGCCGGCACCCUGCACCAAUGGCCUCUUCAUCGUCCUCCUCCUCGUGCUCGCCGCGGCCGACUUCGGGUCGGGGCAGCAGAACCCGCCUCUGCUAGGGGCGUACUACACGACGAAGUUCAGCCCAUCCAGGGCCACCGUCAUCAUCGUCCUAAUCGUCAUCCUCAUCGCCUUCUUCUUCUUACUCCCGAUAGGCGCCGCCGCAGCUCGCCCGCGACGGCAUCAGCGCGGGCUCGACCCGGCCGUCCUUGAGACCUUCCCGACCAUGGCGUACGCCGACGUGAAGGAGCACAAGGCCGUCAAGGGCGCGCUGGAGUGCGCCGUGUGCCUCAGCGAGUUCGACGACGACGAGACGCUCCGCCUCCUGCCCAACGUCCAUCCCGCUUCGCAGCCGCCGCAAGAAGUGCCGCCGCCAGAUUCUGCAACGGAGGCAGCACCCACCGUCGUCAUCGACGUGGAGGAGAGCGAGGACGAGAGGAUCAUCCGGGAAGAGACGGACGAACUUGCGCGGAUCGGCAGCCUGAAACGCGCUCUGCGCUCCAAGUCCAACCGAGCGCCCACGCACUUCUCGCGUUCGCACUCGACGGGGCACUCGCUCGCUGCGCCAGCCAGCAUCUGCACCGGCGCCGGCAUUGAGAGGUUCACGCUGCGGCUGCCCAAGCCGGAGCACGCGGACAGACUACGGCGCAUGAAGAGCCUCGUCGCGUUCACUGCCGGCCGGCAGGGCAGCACGUACCGUUCCCUCCGACUAUGCGGCGACGGCAGCAGCCGCAGCGGGACAAGCGUCCGGCUGGGACAGUCAGGCCGGUGGCCAUCUUUCUUGUCGCGGACUUUCUCCGCGGCGUGGGGGGCGAGGUCCACCCGGAGUGCCGAGUUGGGCGGGUCGAGCAAGGGCGGGAAGCCGGCCGGCGCCGGCGGCAAGUCAGUGGAGUGCAAAGACCACUAG